rnacentral:tRNA from 1 species
UCCCUGGAAGUUCAGUGGUUAAAACUCUGCACUUCCAAUGCAGGGGGCAGGGGUUCAAUCCCCUGUCAGGGAA